AACGAAUAACUAUGGUGUCUUGGUUGUCGCUGGCUCCUCGGAGCAUUGUGCACGCCCGCCAUUUUUAUCUAUCCACCUGUGCACCGAAUGUAGGUCUGGAUGACUCUCGCCUUCGGGCGGAUGCGAGGUUUGCGUGCGAGCGCUCUCCUCGAAUUUCCAGGCUCUACGUCUCUUUACACACCCCAAACGUAUGAUGCAGAAUGUAGUCAAUGGGCCUUUACAAGCCUAUAAAACACUAUACAACUUUCAGCAACGGAUCUCUUGGCUCUCGCAUCGAUGAAGAACGCAGCGAAAUGCGAUAAGUAAUGUGAAUUGCAGAAUUCAGUGAAUCAUCGAAUCUUUGAACGCACCUUGCGCUCCUUGGUAUUCCGAGGAGCAUGCCUGUUUGAGUGUCAUUAAAUUCUCAACCUCACCGGUUUUCUGAACCGUUCUCCGAGGCUUGGAUGUGGGGGUCUGUGCAGGUCGCCUCAGCGCGGUCUGCUCCCCUGAAAUGCAUUAGCGAGAUUCAUUCUGGACCUCCGUCUAUCGGUGUGAUAAUUAUCUACGUCGUUGACUUGGUUCGGACUCGCUUCUAACCGUCCGCGAGGACAACAUACUUGACAAUUUGACCUCAAAUCAGGUAGGACUACCCGCUGAACUUAAGCAUAUCAAUAAGCGGAGGAAAAGAAACUAACAAGGAUUCCCCUAGUAACUGCGAGUGAAGCGGGAAAAGCUCAAAUUUAAAAUCUGGCGGUCCUUGGUCCGAGUUGUAAUCUAGAGAAGUGUUACCGCGUCGGACCGUGUACAAGUCUCCUGGAAAUGGAGCGUCAUAGAGGGUGAGAAUCUCGUCUUUGACACGGACUACUCGAGGCUUCUGUGGUGCGCUCUCAAAGAGUCGAGUUGUUUGGGAAUGCAGCUCAAAA
rnacentral:rRNA from 1 species